UGUCACAAUAAUCAGAGUAUUUAUUACAUAGCGGAAGUCUUACAAAAUAAAAAAAAUAAAUAUAAAGGGUUCUAAAAUCUAUCCUUGGCGCCAGAAAGUCAACUGCGAGACGCCACCUAGAUCGAAUCGAACUCCUCGAUGUGUGGCUCCACUUGAACCACCUAUUCUUGUCCUGUGGGGGGUGUGAGACAGCAAGGGUGAGCUCACAUACGUUCAUAGCUCAACAAGUUGUGGGGAAUAAUGUGCAUGAACUCACCAAAGGUGUUAGUUCAUGUAAAGUGUAAGGUUGAUCAACAAAAUAAAGGUUGAGGCUGAGCAUUGCUUCUAUAAGUUGGUCAAAAUUUUAUUAGCAAUUACUAAGUUUAAGUAAAUACCAAACCAUAAUAAAUAAUAUAACAAAAUUAAUAAAUAAUCCCAUGCAAAUGCAAAUGACAAAUUGAAUUUAAGUUACAUAAAUUAAUCAUGUGAGUGUCUGAGCUGCUCAUGACCGUGAGCACGGCUUGUAUACCAGUUUUACACUCUACAGAGGUUGCGCAUCUUUACCCACAAGUCAUGUUACCCAUCUGCCAAGGGGUCAUGAAUCACAUACACCUCUACCAAGGAAGCGAGGCAGGGUGACACUACGAGGCCUUUACAAAGUUCCACUAGCUUCAGUAAACCCGCUACAGUUUCUAGGAAGCUCUAAUGCAGGGAUCCCUCGCCUGACCGCCAUCGUAGCGAAAUCAACCCAAGGACCUCCCUACACUAACCACUCCCCUACCGCCCUUGCCCCUUUCAGGUAAGGUAGUCAUCCACUACCUUUCCUAAUUAGUCAGCCAAGUGCAUCCCAUACUACCCUUGUGGUAGCACUGUUUUCCCGGGUGGUUCUCCAUGUUCCCAUUAACAUAAUGAUCUUAUCAUGAACACAAAGAACAUAACAGAAUAAUAGGAACAUGCAUAUAAUGUAAUAUUAAACCAAAAACCGUGUAAAGCAAUAGCAUACCCAAUGAUUCAGGGGUAAACAAGGUAAAAGAUAAACAGUCAAGGGUGACCUAUUGGGUCCCAUCAAAAUUAAACCUAUGCAUGAAUAGUGAUAAUAAAGAAUAUAAUUGGGUAAGAAAAGUGGAUCAAGGGCACAACUUGCCUGGCACUUGAGAUUGCAGUUACCAGGGUGAUUCUUCAGAUCCUCGAAACCUUGCGCUAGUCAUAGCAAUACAAACAAACAUGGUAUAAAUAAAAUUAACAUCACACCACACAUAAGAACAAACUGAAUAAUAAUGAUCUACGCGAAGCUAUGAGAUCGUGGGAUCAAGAAAUACUAAGAUCGGAGUUACGAUUAAGGAGUUAUGAUUUUAUAGAAGAUCUGUGUGAUUAAAAUAUUAAACUAUAUUAUAAAUAGGUUAAUAUAAAUUAUAUGAGAGCUUAUUCUAUAAAUAAUUAUCUCAAUUUUAAUCUAAGUUAUGAAUGGACCAUAGAUCAUCUUCUAGUAGAUUAUAAUGACAAGUAGAUUAACAAGACUAACCCACAAAAAUUAAAUAAAGAUCUAAUUAGAAAAGAAUGAGACAUGGUAUAAUAACUAUUGUUGUUGCAUAGUAAUUAUUUAUAUGAGACUAACACAACUUGAAUGGAUCAAAUAGGAGUUAUAGAUUUUAAGUUAUCAAUUUCUAAAGAUUUUAUGUGUUUUGUACAAGAUUAAAUAGAAUAUACAUUUUAAUUUGACUUUCAUGUAAAAACAGUGGUACUAACUAAUAAACAACAAUAUUACAAAAUUAUAGAAAUUGGAAUGGAUAAAUUUGGACUCCAUAUGAAUUUUCUAUGAUUUAUACAAAUUUCAGCAUUUACUUUCACAUUUAAAAAUCAUUGUCCAAUUACUUUUAGGCCCCGUUUGUUUCGUUGGAAUUGAAUUCCAUUUUGAUAAUUAUAAUUUAGACAAAACUAAUUAAGUUCAUACAUUUAUAUAUGUAAUAUAUUUAUAUAUUAUCCUAAAUCAUAAUGAAAGAGAUAGUGAUAUACUACAUUUAUGUUAUAGCGAAGCAAGUAGAUGAGUGUGCUAUAAGUUGUACAUCGGAAAAAUAACAUGUAAAUCUAUGGAAUCAAAUUCCAUCUCUCACCUCAUGAAUUUGAGAUAGGCUUAUAUAAUAACUUUGUAAAGUGGUGGAAUGUCACAUUCUAAAAAAAUAGCUUAUUCUAUUAGUAAGAUUCCAAUUCCUCAAAAUGAAAGGAAACAAACUGGACCUUAGUGGAUUUCUAAUUCCCUGGACUAGGCGCCAAAUUCUGGAAAAGGCAGGGGCUCAUCUAUAAUUUUCCACAAGACGGGGGGUUAAUUCACAGGAAGUCGAAGGGCUCUUUUGCAAACAUGCGAGUUCGAAGGGGUAUGAGAGCGUCAGAGCCGUCCGAUCGAAAUCUGAAGAUCCAGAUUAGAUCCCGAGCCAAUCGAACAAAAUAUAGUGCGGACCUUCGGAUUAAGAUCUAACGGUGUAGAUGUUUAUAUAUCUAGAUCCAAUCGCCACCACUGGAUCUACGGCCUACGGUUCAUAUUCUAAACUCAGGAGAUCGCACCGCGUCCAUCCGAUCACGGAUCAAUGGUCCGAGCAUGACUGGGGCUUUGCAGUCAAUCAUGACCGGACACGCAUGGAUCAACGACCGAGCGGCGUCCAAACCGAAGGGGUACGCAGAUCUAAACCACACAGUUAGAUCCGGAUCCGACGACCGGUGUUCAUCAACUAAUGUUUCGGCGGCCGAGCGGCGGCGCGCUUAUGCCCCGCGGCGGAGCAUCGUCAUCGCGUGCCCUGAUCCGGCCCCCAGUGCGAGCCACUACGAGAUUUCUAGCGCAAAACGAAGCCAAUAGAACAACAAGGACGAAGAUGGUGAUUUACCGGCGAUUAAGCUCCGAGGAAGUCCGCCCUCGCUGCGCGGCGGCUCGACCGCGAGAAGAGAGGUCUGACGACCAAUUCGUGAAGUCCCCUGCGACAAUUCUAGGUGGCGUGGCCACCAGUGCCCGCCCCGCAGCUGAGGGAAGGCCCUGAGCCCCACAAUGGAGGCGCGGACAAUGGCAAGCCGGAGCACCCCCGCAGCAGCCCCAGUUGAUCGAGUCGCUGGCCGAGUCCUUUAUGCGCCCAUGGGGUUCGCAGCACGAGCUGUAGGCGAUCGUUCGGCCGAUCCGUACAAGGCGGAAACCUCCUGGCGGCCAUGGAGUUUGUUGCGGAGGUUGGCUUACCGCUCGGUCCCGCAGGGCAACCGGUGAUGACUUGUUGACGCAGGGAAACUGACAACCGGACCCAAUCGCAGUGAGACGGAGCUUUUGCUAGCUCGCCCCCAGCCCACUUUCGAUGACUGACAGACGAAUCUGCUUGUAUCGCAUGCACAGACUGAAGCCCGACCCACGGGACCCACGCGGAAGUGGCGGAGAGGGAACGCACAGCGCGCCAUGCGAGGGGCUGGCUGCCCGGUCCCACACGUCGGCACCGCGAUCUCAUCCAACAGCGAGUGGAGGAGCUGGCCAGUGGGCACGCAGCGCCAGUGGGUGCACGCCCGAGGAGCCUGGCUGGGCCGAGCGCGAGACAUGAGAUAGCUUGUUGGGCCGAGUGUUCAGAAGCCGGCCCAGGAAUAUUCUUCCCUUUUAUUUUCUUUUUCUUUUGUAUUUCCUUUUCUUUUCCCUUUUAUUCUCUUUCCAAAUUUGUGUUUCCAAUUUGAAUUCAUGUAUUUGUAGUCCAUACUUGAGUUAAAUGUAUAUAUUCUAAUAACAGUAUGAACCAAAAUUUAAUUCAUAUAUAUUUAGUGUAUCCAAAUUUUUAUAGCAUUUUCGUUUUCCUUCUCCAAAUUCUCUUUUAUUUUCUAUUCUCCUUUCUCUUAUUCUCAAAUUCCAAACUAAAUUUAAAUUCAUGUUUGAACUUUGAAUUCAUAAUUCUCUCUUGAAUAAUACUUUUGCACUUUGAAAUCUUAAUUAUUUAUUCUUUUUCCCACUAUUUAAUUCUAGCAAUAGUACAUGACAUAAAUAUACUUUCCUUCCUCUUUUCUUUUUGAAGUUAAACAUUCAAAGGCAUGAUAAAUUCAAGAAGGUUUUCAAAAAUUCUAAAAUCUCUAUCAUAGAUAUCCUCAUUUCUUUGUUUUAUUAUUUUACUAUAUAUUUUUCUACCAAUUUUGGGCUUUACAAAUCCUACCCCCCUUAAUAGAAAUCUCGUCCUCGAGAUUUGUAAGAAAGAGGGUAUACUCAUAUUGUCUCAACACAUAUGCACAAACAAAAAUCUCAGCAUGAUGCAUAAUUUAUUAGCAACAUAUGGGAUCAAAUAGACCUUAUUAUUCCUCCUAAACUAGUAUCACACCGACUACUAACUAAAAUAACACUUAGGUCUUACAAAUAGUAAUAAUAUAUAUAUAUAUGUAGCUUGGUGGAGCUGGUGAUGGUGGUGGAGGUAGUGGUUGUUGUUGACGUUGUCUUUCCAACCGUGCUUGCCUUAUUUCUUGACGUAUCUCCAGUCGGUCGUGGCAUAUUUCCUCGUGUUCUUGUCUUAUCUGAUUUUGCAUUUCGGUAACCAUGUCUGACAUUAGUUGUAUUACCAGCAUUUGGGCGGCAACCACUUGAUCGAUUCCAACAGAUGGAGGAUUUGGAGGAUUCAUUUCUAUUCAUUGUUGCAUGGUAAUCUUCCCUUCCUGAUAUUGACCAUGAGAGUUAAAAGCAUAUGGUAGGAUAGCUUUGCAAUGAAAAGUAUUUGGUAUACAGACGAAUAGGCUAGUAUCUGGUUAUUAACUGAAGAUUCUUUGGCAGAGCUUAAUAGGUUGUCUUAUACCAAGCUUAGGAUAACUAGUCGUAUAAGGUGAAUAUCCAAAGGUAGGAUAGCAUUUUUUUGCCAAGAUGAGAUAGUCUACAUGAUGUAGGUUAAAAAUUUGUUUGACAUUUGGUGGAGACAGAUAGAUUAUGCAAUUCAUCAUGACACUAAUGGUUUGGGUUAGUUCUUAUGCUCAUGGUUGAGUUGAUCUAAUGUGCUAAGUUAAGUUAACACCUGGCUAGAAGGGUCCAAGAACCACUAAUAUGUUUAAGCAGACCACAUUGGAUUAGAUCACCCUAGAUUCCAUAAUCCUAUUUAAGAAUACCAUUUUAGUUGAGCAUAUCCAACUGACUUUAUCUUUAUGAAAUUCUUGUAUAUAUUUUUUUAUCUUAGUGAAACUUCCAAUUAGUAUAUAUUUUUAUACACAUAAAAUUUUCAUGCCAUUAAUAGGUGAGGCUUAGAAAACAAGGGUACCUCAGAUUUUAGCUAUUAGGUGAGUAUUGACAUAGAAUGAGUGUACUAUGGCAUAAUCGAGCUUCCUUUGGGGGUCUGAAUUAGGGACCAUCGGUCAUGGUGUUAGAUGCUCCUAUCCAAGUUGGGAUAACAAUUGCAGGUAUAUGGGGUAGGUAGAUUGAAUAGAGUUUUACUUCUCUUGUAAGAUAAAUGGGUUGGGCAACCUAUAACAUAGGCUAGGUCGUGGUUCCACGAACGAGUUGGUCUAAGACACAAAUUUAGGUUUAGAAUCCAUUUGUAUGAAAAUGGUCUAAUCAGUGUUACCAGCAUUAACUAACUUGUUUAAGUGACUCCCUUUAGAUCAAAUCAUAUUAGAUUAGGUAGGGUCUAUAUUAGAUUAGAUAUAACUAGUUUAGACUAGUUUAAGUUAGAUAGAUCUACCAGGCUAGCAUAUAUAUUUUUAGGAUAUGUUAGAAUCUUUUGCGAUAGGAUGGAUUAUAUGGUGUAGGUAAGUCAGACUCUCUGUUAGGUUAAAAUAGAGCGGUUAUGCAGCUAUCGGGUGGUUAAGGUAGUCGCAUAUGGUUAGGUAGUUGUAUGUGGUCUAGUUAAUCUAGAGCACCAAUUUAGGUUAAAACAUGCUUAUAGAAGUAGGGUCCAAUCUAUUUUCCCAGGAUUAACUAACUUGUUUGAAUGGGUCACAUUGGGUUAGUUUAGAUUAGAUGGGAACUAGAUUAGUUUAUCAUAACUAGAUUUGACUAAAUAAGACCUAAUUAAUUUUGGAUCAGAUUAGGUCGAAUGGGGUCUAGGUAUGACCAGAUUAAUCUAGAUAAGAUCUAGAAUAUAUUGAUAUGACUGGUUUAGUCUAGAUAAGACCUACUUAAUUUAUUUUGGAAUAGAUCAUGUUUGUUACACUGUUACGAGAUAAGCAAAGUGGUGGGGAUAAGUAUGCUCAUUAGGACAGGAUGAGUCUCUAAGAAUAAGAUAGAAUCUUUUGAGAUUAGUUAGAUCUAUUCAGAUAAGAGAGAACCUUUCAAGAUAAGAUGGAUCUAUUAAAAUAGAUACACUUUAAUGGAGGAUAAUCUAAUCUCAUGAAUUUUAUUUAUUUAUACUUAUGCUUAUAUGUAUAUGUAGAUGUAAUUGUGGACGUUACUCCACGACUCAUCACAAUCAAUCAAAGAACCAAAUCAGACAAAUAUCAUAAGAACAAACAUUCAAGUGUAUAGAUCCUAUAAAAAUAGUUUUGUUUUUUCGUUCCUAAGAGUAGGUCUCCUAUUCCUUUAGGCACAGGAUUUCAAAGUGUGAAAUCCACAUUUGUCUUUAGAAGGAAAAGAUAAGAAAAUCAGAGUAAAGCGGAAAUAGAUGAGAAAAGAUUAACAUAAGUUUAGAAAAGAAUUAGAGUAAGGUAAGUAGGUAAGGGUCUGACCAUUUCUAUCUAGGUUUCGUCCUACAGUCAACUUUUCCUCUGAUACCACUUCUGUCACACCCGGUUUUAAGGGACAAAGUCGGGUGCAUCUCAUACAUGCGCCAAAGAAGACAACAUAUAUAAUAACAUAGUGUAUAGAGAUAAAUGUCACAAUAAUCAGAGUAUUUAUUACAUAGCGGAAGUCUUACAAAAUAAAAAAAAAUAAAAGGAUCCAAAAUCUAUCCUUGGCGCUAGAAAGUCAACUGGGAGACGCCACCCAGAUCGAAUUGAACUCCUCGAUGUGUGGCUCCACUUGAACCACAUGUUCUUCUCCUGUGGGGGGGUGUGAGACAGCAAGGGUGAGCUCACAUACGUUCAUAGCUCAACAAGUUGUGGGGACUAAUGUGCAUGAACUCCCCAAAGGUGGAAGUUCAUGUGAAGUGUAAGGUUGAUCAACAAAAUAAAGGUUGAGGCUGAGCAUUGCUUUUAUAAGUUGGUCAAAAUUUUAUUAGCAAUUACUAAGUAUAAGUAUAUACCAAACCAUAAUAAAUAAUAGAACAAAAUUAAUAAAUAAUCUCAUGCAAAUGCAAAUGACAAAUUGAAUUUAAGUUACAUAAAUUAAUCAUGUGAGUGUCCGAGCUGCUCAUGACCGUGAGCACGACUAAUAUACCAGUUUUACACUCUGCAGAGGUUGUGCAUGUUUACCCACAAGUCAUGUUACCCAUCUUCCAAGGGGUCAUGAAUCCCAUACACCUCUACUAAGAAAGCGAGGCAGGGUAACACUACGAGGCCUUUACAAUGUUCCACUAGCUUCAGAAAACCCGCUACAGUUUCUAGGAAGCUCCAAUGCAGGGAUCCCUCACCUGACCGCCAUCAUAGCAUAAUCAACCCAAGGACCUCCCUACACUGACCACUCCCCUACUGCCCUUGCCCCUUUCGGGUAAGGUAGUCAUCCACUAGCUUUCCUAAUUAGUCAGCCAAGGGCAUCCCAUACUACCCUUGUGGUGGCACUAUUUUCCCGGGUGGUUCUCCAUGUUCCCAUUAACAUAAUGAUCUUAUCAUGAACAUAAAUAACAUAACAGAAUAAUAGGAACAUGGAUAUAAUGAAAUAUUAACCCAAAAACCGUGUAAAGCAAUAGCAUAACUACCCAAUGAUUCAGGGGUAAACAAGGUAAAAGAUAAACAGUCUAGGGUGACCUAUUGGGUCCCAUCAAAAUUAAACCUAUGCAUGAAUAGUGAUAAUAAAGAAUAUAAUUGUGUAACAAAAGUGGAUCAAGGGCAAAACUUGCCUGGCACUUGAGAUUCCAGUUACCUGGGUGAUUCUUUAGAUCCUCGAAACCUCGCGCUAGUCGUAGCAAUACAAACAAACAUGGUAUAGAUAAAAUUAACAUCACACCAAACAUAACAACAAACUGAAUAAUAAUGAUCUACGCGAAGCUAUAAGAUCGUGGGAUCGAGAACUACUAAGAUCGGAGUUACGAUUAAGGAGUUAUGAUUUUAUAGAAGAUCCGUGUGAUUAAAUAUUAAACUAUAUUAUAAAUUGGUUAAUAUAAAUCAUAUGAGAGGUUAUUUUAUAAAUAAUUAUCUCAACUUUAAUCUAAGUUAUGAAUUGACCAUAAAUCAUCUUAUAGUAGAUUAUAAUGAUAAGUAGAUUAACAAGACUAACCCACAAAAAUUAAAUAAAGAUCUAAUUAGAAAAGAAUGAGACAUGGUAUAAUAACUAUUGUUAUUGCAUAGUAAUUAUUUAUACGAGACUAAUGCAACUUGAAUGGAUCAAAUCGGAGUUAUAGAUUUUAAGUUAUGAAUUUCCAAAGAUUUUAUGUGUUUUGUACAAGAUUAAAUAGAAUAUAAAUUUAAUUUGACUUUCAUGUCAAAACAGUGGUACUAACUAAUAAACAAUAAUAUUACAAAAUUAUAGGAAUUGGAAUGGAUUAAUUUGGACUCCAUAUGAAUUUUCUAUGAUUUAUAAAAAUUUCAGCAUUUAUUUUCACGUUUAAAAAUCAUUUUCCAAUUACUUUUAGUGGAUUUCUAAUUCCCUGGACUGGGCGUCAAAUUCUAGAAAAGACAGGAGCUCAUCUAUAAUUUUCCACAAGACUCAGACCGCAACCCUACUGGACGGCGGGUUAAUUCACAAGAAGUCGAAGGGCUCUUUUGCAAACAUGCGAGGUCGAAGGGGUAUGAGAGCGUCAGAGCCGUCCGAUCGAAAUCUGAAGAUCCAGAUUAGAUCCCGAGCCAAUCGAACGAAAUACAGUGCGGACCUUCGGAUUAAGAUCUAACGGUGUAGAUGUUUAUAUAUCCAGAUCCAAUCGCCACCACUGGAUCUACAGCCUACGGUUCAGAUUCUAAACUCCGGAGAUCGCACCGCGUCCAUCCGAUCACGGAUCAAUGGUCCGAGCAUGACUGGGGCUUUGCAGUCAAUCGUGACCGGACACGCAUGGAUCAACGGCCGAGCGGCGUCCAAACCGAAGGGGUACGCAUAUCUAAACCACGCCGUUAGAUCCGGAUCCGAUGACCGGUGUUCAUCAACUAACCCAGCGGCGGCUGAGCGGCGGCGCGCUUAUGCCCCGCGGCGGAGCAUCGCCGUCGCGUGCUUGAUCCGGCUCCUAGUGCGAGCCACUACGCGAUUUCUAGUGCAAAACGAAGCCAAUAGAACAACAAGGGCGGAGAUGGUGAUUUUACCGGCGAUUAAGCUCUAAGGAAGUCCGCCCUCGCUGCGCGGCGGCUCGAGCACGAGAGGAGAGGUCCAGCGACCAAUUCGUGAAGUCCUCGACGACAAUUCCAGGUGGCGUGGCCACCAGCGCCCGCCCCGCAGCCGAGGGAAGGCCCUGAGCCCCAUAAUGGAGGCGCGGACGACGGCAAGCCGGAGCACCCCUGCAGUAGCCCCAGCUUCUCUCCGUGGCGGCAGGAAAUUCUCACGAUUGCGGCAAGGAUGGCGGGGUAAGGGUGGGGCGAGUUGAUCGAGUCGCUGGCCGAGUCCUUUAUGCGCCCCUGGGGUUCGCAGCAUGAGCUGUAGGCAGUCGUUCCGCCGAUCCGUACAAGGCGGAAAUCUCCCGG
rnacentral:lncRNA from 1 species